UCAAGGGUUGUAAGCCCUCCUCUCAGAUAACUCCAUUCCUUUCCACGAUACCAGGGAAGUUUGUCCUCAUGACCAUGGUGAUGCAGGUAGGUCACAAAGUCCAACCACAUGACAAAGAUCCAGUAGGGAAUACCAUAGAGUUUAAGCAUUUGGACAGGACCCAUAACAAAGUUUAAAUAUACAAGCAAUGCAGCCAUUGCAGUCCAACAAGCUGUUGAGGUAAGAACACCUUUUCUCUCAUUUGGGAGGAACAAAUCACUAUCUGGAUGAAAAUGAGAACCCUUUU
rnacentral:misc_RNA from 1 species